rnacentral:rRNA from 1 species
UACGGAGGGUGCAAGCGUUAAUCGGAAUUACUGGGCGUAAAGCGCACGCAGGCGGUCUGUCAAGUCGGAUGUGAAAUCCCCGGGCUCAACCUGGGAACUGCAUUCGAAACUGGCAGGCUAGAGUCUUGUAGAGGGGGGUAGAAUUCCAGGUGUAGCGGUGAAAUGCGUAGAGAUCUGGAGGGAUACCGGUGGCGAAGGCGGCCCCCUGGACAAAGACUGACGCUCAGGUGCGAAAGCGUGGGGAGCAGACAGGAUUAGAU